rnacentral:rRNA from 1 species
UACGGGGGGAGCAAGCGUUGUUCGGAUUUACUGGGCGUAAAGGGCGUGUAGGCGGCCACCGCAAGUCAGUUGUGAAAUCUCUGGGCUUAACCCAGAACGGUCAGCUGAUACUGCGGGGCUAGAGUGCAGAAGGGGCAACUGGAAUUCUCGGUGUAGCGGUGAAAUGCGUAGAUAUCGAGAGGAACACCUGCGGCGAAGGCGGGUUGCUGGGCUGACACUGACGCUGACAGCGCGAAAGCUAGGGGAGCGAACGGG